rnacentral:lncRNA from 1 species
UUUUUUUUUUUUUUUUUUUAAGAUUUUAUUUAUUUGAGAGAGAGAAAGAGAGAGCACAAGUGGGCCAAGGGGCAGAGGGAAAGGGAGAAACAGACUCCCCCCACCCGCUGGACAAGGAGCCUGAUAGAGGCAGAUCCCAGGACCCUGGGAUCAUGAUCUGAGCCAAAGGCAGACAUUUAACCAACUGAACCACCCAUGUGCCCCAUUGGUGGAGUUUUUUCAUUAGUUAACUCUUAAAAACAAGAUAACAGCAGGAUAUCUGUUGAUCCGUGAGAUUUAAAAAAUCCCUUUAAGUUGCAUAUUGAUUUAGAAUAUGAAUAUUGAUGCCAAUCCACUGGUGAUGAAUUGCAGCAUGGGGUGUGAGGAUGAGGCCAGUUGGCAGGCGUCUGAGCCUGGACUCCGGGCAGGUCAGAAUGUGUAGGCCUUGUGACUCUAUUACUGAUCAUGGAUCCUGGGGGUAAAUGACAGGAUCCUGUGAGAUUUCUCAGUCAUUUCUGAAGUAGGUUUUCAUUCAAAUUUGGGUAAACAUAUAAAAGUAAAUGCCAAAUACCUGGGCACUAGCCCAACCUUGAGUUGAUGCUUAGAAUGAGGUAGGUAAACAAGUGACCGAAGGAAAAGUUUUUUAAGCCAAUGAGAAUAUCAGUGAAGUAGUUUUACUUAGGGGCAGGGUUGAGCAGAAUGACAGAGUGGUGUAUCUUGAGCCCUUAAGUAUACUAAGAGUAGAUACCUAGUUUUACUAUAUGGCACUUUGAGUCUGUGAAGAUAAUCUUAUAUACGCGUAUCAAUAUAUUUCAGAUAUAUAUGAUGUAUUUAUGACAUAUGUAUCUAUAUCUUACUAAUACCUGUGUAUUGCAUCACAUUUAGAAGAAUCAAAGGGGGAUAUAGUGAAAAGUUAGUCCCCACCCCUUCCAUAUCUCCCAGCCACCCAAUAUCCCUCAUGGAAAGCAAAUUACAAUAGCCAGUUCCUUCCUUCCUUCUUGCUCUUUGCUCUACUUGGUUAAGAACUCCUGCUCAGAAAAUUUCCAGCCUCUACAUUUUCCUGCCUGGUUAAAUUUAACCUUAUUUAUCUCUUUCCAAGCCUCAAUGCUUUAUUUAUUCUUCUUACUCUCUUUUUUCCAGUUCUCCCUCACAAGGUACCUACAUCUCAUCUUUUACGUAUACUUUUUUUCCCAUUUCCUAGAUGUUAUUCAUGUUCUUUGUUCUCAGGUCUAUCUGAAAUAUCUACUUCUUCGAGACUGAAGUCAGACCCCAUUUUUUUUCUGACCGCUCUUCUCCAUCCCCAUUGAUUUCCUUCUUUUCUGAAUCCCUGGGCAUCUACAAAGGGGGUUAUUUGAGUUUCUGUUUUCAGUAUUCCAAAAUGAUACCAAAACAUAUUAAAGUGUUAUGUUUCAUUAUUUUGGUUGGAACUAUAUAAAUCUAAAGAGAGGCAGAGAUUAGCUCGAAGCCACCAGACGUUACAAUUAGAAAUUCAUCUUUGAUUAAUGAAGAAAAACAUUUGAUAUACAAAAUCUUUCAAACUGCGAUCCCCAGGGGAAAAGAGUAAAAGGAGUUCAUGAUGCGGAGGAGCUGCAAAGCACUAAAAGUAUACACAUUUAAUAUUUAUCUAUAUGUAGUGAAGGGAUUGAAAGCAUGAUUUUGAAGCCAGGCAGAUCGGGGUUUGACAUGAUCUGUACAAUUUUGGGCAAUUUGCAUUAUCUCUUGGAGCCUUGGUUUCUCUAUAAGGAAAUAAGUCAAGGCAAAUAAAACACUCAGAACAAUGCUUAGUAAAUGCUCAAUAAAUGUUAAGUGUUAUUGUUGUUAUUUCUUCUUGUAGGUGAUUUGUCUCCUUAAGGUUACCUUAUAGGAGGUAAGGAUUAUUCAGGUGGACCCAAUGUAAUCACUAGAGUCCUUAAAAGGUAGAAGAAGACGGAGGAUUCAGAGAACGAGAUGAGAUGACAAGUCAUUGUCAAAGUUAGAGUUAUUCGAUGUGACAUUUCAACUUGCUGUUGUAGGCUUUGUAGGGGAAGGAAGAAGCCAGGAGCCAGAAGCCAAGGAACACAGAUGGCCUCUAAAAAGGAGCCGGAAAUGUACGGAAAUAGAUUCUCCCCUAGAUACUCCAGAGGUGAAUAUCCCUGCCAACACCUUGCUUUUAGCAUCAUGAGAUGAGUUCAGACUUCUGACCUCUAGAAUUGGAAGACAAUCAAUUUAUGUUGCUUGAAGCCACUAAGUUGGUGGUAAUUUAUAAAACAUCAGUAGGAAAUGAAUGCAUUUCCUCAGCUGGACUCCUUUAUGAAGACUAAUUUUGAAUAGCUCGUAGUGUCCAAAAUAACAUUAGAUAAAAUGGUGUUGGAUAUAAACAUAGAUCAAUGAGUUGGGUUUACUGAGGGUUCCAGCAGAGAGGCAUAGCAAUUUGUAAAUUGCUCUUUCUAGUGGAGAAGAGGAAGCCACCAGUCAGCUCCCUUGCUGAAUGUGGAUUUCUAUUACAGUACACGUUAAAAAUGUUGGGGAAAUUCCCUAUCUCACUGCCGGGGAUGGAUACUAACUGGCAGUAAGAUUCAUCUACAGCCCAGUCAUGGUUUUCCCCUUCAUGUCUCUACCUCCCAUAAUUACAGCUAGUUUACAAGCUUAAUAGUAAUUACUACCACGUAUUGAGCACACAGUAUGUACUAGGCCUUGUAAUUAAUGUUCUGCACACAUCAGCCUAUGUAAUUCUCACAAAAUUCCUAUGGUGGAAAAAAGAAAUGUAGUGCCCUGUUUUUCAACUUUCAGGUUUUGACUGUCAGUGGAUCCUGAAAUCAGUUUGGUUGGGAGUGAUUAGCCAUUCUAAAAAAUAAAAUAUAAUAGAAUAUAUCAAUUGCAUGAAGUAAGAGUAAGAAUAAUUUAAUAAAAUGUUGGUUUUAAUUAUAUAUAUAAUAUUAUAUAUAAUAUAUAUUAUAUAUAAUAUUAUAUAUAAUAAUAAUAAUAAUUCUUGUAAUAGAUCAUAUUUAAAAAUUUAAAAACCACCAAUAGGGGUGCCUGGGUGGCUCAAUCUGUUAAGUGUCCUACUCUUGAUUUCAUCUCAGGUUAUGAUCUCAGGGUUGUGAGCUUGAGCCCUGUGUUGGGCUCUGUGCUGGGUAUAGAACUUGCUUAAGAUUCUGUCUCUCUCUCCCUCUCCCUCUGCUUCUCCUCCCCUUAAAAAAAAAAAUAAAAAAACAAAUCACCAAUGAAAUGGUUGAGAGUCUAGGCUUUAGCAACAGCACUGAGUUUAAUCUCAAUUCUUUAUUUGAACAUCUCUGUGAUCUUCAGCAUGUUACUUAUUUCUUUGUUACCUCAUCUUAUAGGCUUCCAUCUCAAGUUUUUUUUUUUUUUUUCUCUCUUUCUUUCUUUAUUUUUUUUGAGGGUGAAGUGGGUUAAUCCAAGCAAAGCACUUAGAACAAUGCCUUAGUAAAUAACGCUUGGUUAAUGAUACAUCCUGAUGCCAGAUGGUUAGUAAGCAGGGAACUGGGCAGAUUCCUGCCAAGUCUAGUCUUGAGUUUGGAAUCUAAGGCAGUUUCGUGCAAUCUUAGGUGUCUCCUCAUAGCAAACAAACAAACAAAAAUGUAAGUCUCCCUUUACAUGUUUACCAGCAAGUUGAAAAUAAUUGUCUCCUCAGGAAGUUGGCCUAGUUGACAGUCUUGUCUCUGAGGGAAAACAAACUUUGUGACUUGUCUUCUGAGCUCCAAGGGAAGAAUAUGUAAAAGACACUCAGGGGCAUAGAUAACAAAUGGAUAUCUCCCUUAACCCUUUACAGUAGGAAAUUAGAUCAAGUAAGAAAUCCCAUAGGAAUCUGGGGUGAGGUCAGCUAUCUAAAAGCAUAUCAAGUGACUGGAGUUCUGGUUUUGCUUUGCAGUUUGAUUUUUGUCUUUUUUUUUUUUUUUUCCCUUGCUUUGUUUCCUCCUCUGCUUUAGCAGGCAACUCAGACAUUUUUAUGAAUCUCUUAAAAAUGUAUUGACCCUACCUGGUGUUAAGUGCCUUGUAUUGAUUGAAAUAUAUUGCUAGGCUGUAUUGCUUCUGUAGUCUCUGAAAUUGUAAGAAUUUAAGACACUAAUGACUCUCAAGUUAUAGCUAAGUGUUGAUAAAAUUAUUCUGGGCCUUUAAAAUAUUGAUUUUAAUGUUCAGCCAAUAUUCAACUUAAAAUGAAUUCUAUACCAUUUCCAGGUUGUUUGAGUAUAGAGUUAUUUUGUUGCUAUUUAAGGUUUUGCUGGAAGAUGUGUUUCUAGGCUUUAAGAUUGGGGAAGGGUAUGAAUCUAACCUGUGUAUGAGGAUCUGGCAAGAAGGCAGCAGUGUUCUGAACCAGCAGGGAAAGGAAGGAGGUAUAUUCAGCGCCCCUUCCUUCCCCAUUUCAGCACAUCCAUUCCUUCAUCUUAACAUAUGUUGAUUGGUUUAACAUUAUUUGCAAGCAUAUGGCCCUGCUGCCUUAGAAUGCUAAGUAGAAGGGAAAAUAGUGCCAAUAAUUUCCUGACAGGAAUGUGCCUCUUUCACUUUUUUUUUCUUGAAGAAUAUGAUCUGCUCUUCUCUAUUUCCUUCCUUCCUUCCUUCCUUCCUUCCUUCCUUCCUUCCUUCCUUCCUUCCUUCCUUCCUUUUUUCUUUCUUUCCUUCCUUCCUUACUUAAACUUUUAGAACAGUUUCAGGUUCAUAGCCAAAUUAAGGGGAAGAUACAGAGAUUUCCCAUGUAUCCUUGCCCAACACAUGUAUAAUUCACCCAUUACCAAAAUCCCUCACAAGAAUAGUAAAUUGAUUACAACUGAUAAAUGUACAUAGCCACUUGGAAUCCACAGUUUAUUUACAGUUCAUUAUUGAUAUACAUUCUGUAGAUUUGGACAAAUGUAUUAUGGCAUAUAUCCAUCAUUUAUAGUAUCAUACAGAAUGGUUUCACUACUCUAAAAAUCAUGUAUGCUACACAUGUCCAUUCAUGAUCCCCACACGUAGUAACCACUGGUCUUUUACUGUCUCCAUAAUUUUGCCUUUUCCAGAAUAUCGUAUAGCUGGAAUCAUAUGAUAUAUAAUCUUUUCAGAGUGGCUUCUUUUACGUAAUAUGUAUUUCAGUUUCCUCCAUGGCUUUUCUUGGCUUUAUAGUUCAUUUCUUUUUAGCCAAGUAAUAUUCUUUUGCCUGGGUAUGCCACAGUUUAUUUAUCCACUCGCUUACAGAAGGGCAUCUUGAUUGAUUCAGAGUUUUGGAAAUUGCGAGUAAAACCGCCAUAAACAUCUUUGUGCGGAUUUUUGUGUGGAUGUAAGUUUUUAGCUCCUUUGCGCAAAUAUCAAGGAGCUCAAUUGCUGGAUCAUUUGGUAAAAAGAUGUUUGGUUUUGUAAGAAACUUCCAAACUAUCUUCGAAAGCGUCUGUGCCCCACCCUCUCUGUCUCGUUUUAAGUCUCUGAACAAUCUUUGAGGUCAGCAGUAGCCUAAAUGAAUAAGCAUGUGUAUGUUUGGUCACUUAGUGGAUAUAGUUUUGCAAGGCAUUCUGUGGAACUGGUUAUCUAUAAGCAAGCUGUUCCCGCAGCUGGCCCCAGACUUCUGCAACCCAAUUUGUGAUGUGUUUGUAAAAGGCCUAGAGAAGCUGAAUUAUGUCUUUCAUUGGUCUUCAGGGGGUAGGUACAUAGGAAUUGCAGCAAGGAUAGCGCAAGUGGCCUCACAGAGAUUCAUGUGGGGUAGGUCUGUGAUCCUCUGAAAUAUAAACUGGAUGGUCAUUGACUUUGUGAGAGCACAGAAAAAGCAAAAGUAUGCCGGCCUUUUAGGUGGAGCUCAGUGUUCCUUUCUGUCAAUCGAGUAUCCUUUCAUACCUGCUUUCUCAGGGCAGAGACAUUUUAUGGGGCCGUGGAUAUUCUGAGAGAAAAAGUCAUAUUGGAUGGUCACUGGAGACACCUCCUGUUGAGAGCUAGGAGAGGUGAGUGAGAAGGCUGCAAUGCUCUCAUUCCUCAAUGGCCCCCUUUCGACGGUGCAUUUAGUAAUGAGUAUAUUUAGUUGCACAUGCAUGUGUGGUUAUUCAUACACGGUAGAGAGUGGUAGAAGCACAUGACCUAGUUAACAUUGCUUUUAAAAAGUAACACAGCUCUAAUAAAACAAGUCUGUUUCAAAUCAAAAGUUUUAAUGACAAAAAUACCAUGAUUGGAAUGUAUCUAACAAAUGCUAUCUUUCUUCUUGAACUUGGAGCAAGUAAGAGUUGAACUCAGUGGUCAGCGGGUUGGUAUCACAUGCCAGCUGUCAUGCUAAGCAACAACGGGAUGAGUGCACACAAGGCUUGGUGCAGCCAUAGUGGACUUGACAACCUCAUCU